UACGUAGGGCGCAAGCGUUAUCCGGAAUUAUUGGGCGUAAAGAGCUCGUAGGCGGUUGUCGCGUCUGCCGUGAAAGCCCGGGGCUUAACCCCGGGUCUGCAGUCGAUACGGGCAUCACUUGAGUUCGGCAGGGGAGACUGGAAUUCCUGGUGUAGCGGUGAAAUGCGCAGAUAUCAGGAGGAACACCGGUGGCGAAGGCGGGUCUCUGGGCCGAUACUGACGCUGAGGAGCGAAAGCGUGGGGAGCGAACAGG
rnacentral:rRNA from 1 species